rnacentral:rRNA from 1 species
GACGAACGCUGGCGGCGUGCCUAAUACAUGCAAGUAGAACGCUGAAGGAGGAGCUUGCUCUUCUGGAUGAGUUGCGAACGGGUGAGUAACGCAUAGGUAACCUGCCUGGUAGCGGGGGAUAACUAUUGGAAACGAUAGCUAAUACCGCAUAAGAGUAGAUGUUGCAUGACAUUUACUUAAAAGGUGCAAUUGCAUCACUACCAGAUGGACCUGCGUUGUAUUAGCUAGUUGGUGGGGUAACGGCUUACCAAGGCGACGAUACAUAGCCGACCUGAGAGGGUGAUCGGCCACACUGGGACUGAGACACGGCCCAGACUCCUACGGGAGGCAGCAGUAGGGAAUCUUCGGCAAUGGACGGAAGUCUGACCGAGCAACGCCGCGUGAGUGAAGAAGGUUUUCGGAUCGUAAAGCUCUGUUGUAAGAGAAGAACGAGUGUGAGAGUGGAAAGUUCACACUGUGACGGUAUCUUACCAGAAAGGGACGGCUAACUACG